CCUACGGGUGGCAGCAGUGGGGGAUAUUGCACAAUGGGGGAAACCCUGAUGCAGCGACGCCGCGUGGGUGAAGAAGCGCCUCGGCGCGUAAAGCCCUUUCAGCAGGGAAGAAAAUGACGGUACCUGUAGAAGAAGCCACGUCUAACUACGUGCCAGCAGCCGCGGUAAUACGUAGGGGGCAAGCGUUAUCCGGAUUUACUGGGUGUAAAGGGGGCGCAGACGGCGAUGCAAGCCAGGAGUGAAAGACCGGGGCCCAACCCCGGGACUGCCCUUGGAACUGCGUGGCUAGAGUGCAGGAGGGGCAGGCGGAAUUCCUGGUGUAGCGGUGAAAUGCGUAGAUAUCAGGAGGAACACCGGUGGCGAAGGCGGCCUGCUGGACUGCAACUGACGUUGAGGCCCGAAAGCGUGGGGAGCAAACAGGAUUAGAUACCCCAGUAGUC
rnacentral:rRNA from 1 species